UUUAUGGCAUCCCCUCAUUGAGUUUUCAGAAAUAUCUCAUGAACUGAAGACAAUAUACACGAAUGACGUUUCAUGAUUUCUCAACCACUCCUAAUUUGAUUUUAUUUGAUUUGCUGUGCCUCAACUUUGUUAUGAACAUACCUAUUAAGAGAGUCUCAUUGCUAUUAUCAUGAACGCCCGUUUGGCAAAGGAUGAUGCGGAGUUGGGAUUGAGGUUCAAACAGCAACUGUGCCAUUUGUAUCAAGAUCAUAGAAGAAAGUGUCGGGCUUCAUUUCCAAGUGUUUGGUACCCACUAGCAUCUUUAAAGGAAUAUGGAUAUGAAUUGUAUUGUUCAAAGGAGGUCUUUGUCACCAAUCAUUUAAAGUAAUCCUAAUCGUGUAUCAAAGUGGUUUUUAUAUUCUUUCUCGGAUAAUAGAUUAUAACAAGGUAAAGGUCUCAACUCUCAAGAUGUUGUCCAGGAUUGCAUUUAAUAAUAACAAUACUUGCUGUGAGG